UUUUUGUUUUUGUUUUUUUUUUUAAAUAGUUUCCCUGCCCUGGCUUGUCCAGUUCCUUUUCUUCCCUUCUCUCUUGCUUGGGAUCCCCCUCCUCUCUCUACCACGCCUGCCCUAACAGCCCCUUCUAUACCUUCUCUCCAUGCCUGUUUUUCAUCUCUUGGGCUCAGAAAAUGAAAUAAGUGUUGCUUAAAUUAUACAAAUUAAGUUUAGAGAAAUAAAGAGCAAAAGUCUCAGAUGCCCUCCCAUGAAUAUGAUGCGUGAGAUCAAUCCUGGUCUCUGACGUGACCCUGUGCAAUCUAGAGCUUACGGCUGGCUUCUGACAUCCCAAUAACGGCCUUUCUUUUUAUGUUAACCAUGAUUCAGGCACUGUGGCAAUGCUUGCCAUACUCAUUUGGUUUAAUGUGCACUAAACGAUCAUCUGCAACAAUUUAAAUUUAUGCCCAUUUUGCAGAUGUGGAGAUGGAGGCUUAUUAGCGAUGAGAAGUAAUUCGCCCCCUGCGGUGUGGCUGAGAAGCGGCAAAGUGGAUUCUAACCAGAUCUCAAGUUGCAGAAGCCUGUGUGCUAACUGUUGUGUCAUUUUGCCCCCUUUCUGGUCCAGGCUGCGCAGAAGCACAUGGCUAGUGAGCAUCUCGGGUUAAAUGCGGAUUUAGUAAUGUUCUCUGCAACAGAAACUAAUGAUCUGGGCAUGAGCAAUAUCUCAGUACCUAAGAAAGCCUAAAACUGCUUUGGAAAGUCCACAUGCAACAGAAGCCUUGUUAAUUUAGUUCCCCACCAGGUUAUUACCUAAAAUGGAAACGCAACAUUUUCACUGCCAUCCUCAGAACAACCUACUCCAGUGGUCUUAGGGGAGCUCUCUGACUCAAUUUAUCACCUGAGGUCAUCUACUUGGAGGAGAAAGUCUGGAAUGCCCCGGAACAGUUUUAUUAGCUUUGGAUUCAGCGGAUGAGGGAGCGUUUGCAGGUGUGGGUUUUCAAAGCACAAAGUUUCCUUCAGUGGCCUCAAUGGAGCCCUUGUGUGGGCCUCGUCGUUGCAAUCCCAGCCCUACAGGAACGUGCUCGGAGCAGUAUUUGUGUGGAAUAAGGCACUGCAUUGGUGGACUAGACGCUACCCUGGUGACCUCAUGGGGUGGAAAGACUGUCUUCCAGAGGGUGUUGGGAAUAAUCCGGCGCACACUGUCACCCCUUGGGAGAGAAUCUGUCUCACUUACGAAGUGCACUGUGAGACCUCAUUGGACUCACAGUUCUUUUGCUUCUUUGAGCAAACAAAUAAGCUUUUGCCUUGCUUUGAUCAGUUGCUUAGCUCACCAGAGAAAACAACCCUUCCUUUUUCUCCUUGGACCACACCCUGGUCCAAGGUCAAGAUGACAUCACCAUCAAGAUUACUGUGCCCUCCCUGUUCCAGCUUCCUAAAGUUCCAGGACUUUCACCAAAGUAAUCACUCAGAACCGUCACCACAAGAAUAGGAAUGUUUAAAUAAAAAAAUAAAAUGCAGGGCCUUCAGUUAGAUUUGAAUUUCAUACAACAAGGAAUAAUCCCUUAAUAUUUAGAAUCUGGGAUACACCUGUGCUAAAACAUUACAUGUCGGUUCUCUGAAGUUCAAAUUUAACUGGAUGUCCUGUAUUUUUAGUUGUAAAACCUGGCAAUGCCACACAAGAACAUACGUGUUCUUGAGCAUUAGGCUAAGCGUUGCAUAUUGGCACUCUCCUAUCAUUCUCAUUAGAACGACGACAAAACUGAAGCCCAGAAAAUUGUCUAUAUCUCAGGAUGACACAGUCCGUAAGGGCGAGAUGACAAAUUCAAACAGAUGUGACUUCAAAAGCCUUGCUCUCCCCACCACAGGGAGAACUCCAAAAUCUAAUCCCAGAAAUCUGUCCCUGUCACCUUCUCCCUCCUUCCUAUCCAGGACACUGGGGGGGAAAAAAAAAUCUGGUGUAAGACGUAAUUUAAAUAAAGUGCCAGCGAGUUUUCUGGAGGAGGCAGCCAGCCCGCGUUCGCUCCUCGCCACUCGAGUAUUUAUUUUUCUGAGCACAGCGAGGCGAGCAUGCUUUUCAUUUCAGCUGCAUCUGCAAUCACCUUUCUCCUGCUGUAUUUAACUGCUGAUACAGGACUCUGAUUUACUAAACUAAGGAGUGGAGACAUUUACAUAAAACAGCUUACUGCAGGGUGUACCUAAUCGGCAGGAAUUCUAGGGGAAAUUCAACAAGACACAAAAUGCAUCUCGGAAAGUGCUGAAAUGGAAGUUCUCCACGAAUGAAAGGAGAUGCGAAUGUUUUAAAUCUAAAUAUAUUUCUUCGUUUAUAUAAAAAUACGGGCUCCUCUGGUCCUCCAGGGACUUAAGGAGUUCCACCUUGAGCCAUCUGCUCACUGCAGGUGGAGGAGAAUCGCGGCUGUGGAUCUGGGGUCUCCCGUCCGUCCUCCUCCUGAGGAUCUGAGAAAAGUUGCCCAGACUUAUCACACUAAACAGAAAUAAGGAAUUAUUAGAUGUUUCAUUCUUUUCUCUUCUUUUUCCCCCAUUUUUUAAAAAUUCUUUUAAAAUCUCUUUCAUUCUUUGCAUGCCAGAGUGCUUUUGCACAGCCAGGAUCUGUUCAGCGAAGUGGGAGGGGGGUGUAAAGAUGCCAGUUAUUCACCUGGAUUGACCACACAGGGAAUCCCUAAUGGGGACCAAUGAGGCCUCAGUGAGGGUUUGGGGGGGGGUCUAUACAAAUGUUGACUCUGUUUUAUCAUCCUUUUUUGGCUCUUCUCUCCAUGCCUCUCUCUUUCCUUAAAUAUUUCUUCCCUCAUGAAACCUUCCCUAGUUCCCCCAGAAAGAAAUGUUGCCUGUUGUUUCUUUUCUGAGUAACCACUUGGAAGGAGGCACACUGUUCUAGAAGCUGGUGGGAGAAACACUGGUGCUGGUCCAGAUGUCUGCUCCCCUGGGGCAGGGAUUCUGAUGGAGAGUCAGAGAGGGUAAGCAAGUCAGCCGAGGAAGGAACAAGUAGCAAGAUAAACAUUACUGCCACAAAUCCUGCUAUGAGACAAAGUAUUGCAAUGAAAGAAAUAAACACAGUGAUUGGAGGGAGGUGUUCUCCAGGAAAGGUCUGUCCACAAGCAGAGGCCCAAGCACAGGGCCUUUACCCACCCCACCUGUAUGCAAAAACAUGCUAAUUUAUAUGACUGCCAUACUGUAAAUUCCCUAUAAGGAGAAAACCUAUUUUUUUUUUCCUGCAUAACUGCCACCAUGGUGACGACAGUCAAUAUCCAAAAGCCUGGGGCAGUUUGGGGGAGGGUGUAUCAGGGUUUCAAAGGGCAUAAGUACGGUUCACACAUAGAACCAAUUUUUAAAAUACUUCAUGAAUAAAUGAAAUAAAAUAUUCUCAUGAAUAAAUAAAUACAGUCAUUUCAUGAGAGACACACUGAGAGAAGGGCAGAGAGACAUAGGCAGAGGGAGAAGCAGGCUCCCUGCGGGGAGCCCGAUAUGGGACUGGAUCCUGAUCUGGGAACUCCUGGAUCAUGCCCUGAGCCCUUAGCCGAGGGCAGACAGAACGCUCAACCGCUGAGCCACCCAGGCAUCCCAAUAAAUAUAGUCCAAAAAAAACAAAAAGAAGGUGCCGAAUAUCACAAACUCAGCAGUAAAGACAGCCUUCCUACGCUACUUGCUCACCUUAGUUACCUACUCUGUUGUCAUCAUUUAUUAAUGUCUUCCAUGCUGGUCUACAAUUUCCUUGAGGACUGGUCCUUGAUGGGUUUCAUUCAUGAAUGUAUUCCAGCACUUAAUCCAGUGUCUGGCACAAGGUGGACACUCAAUAAAUGGGCUCAGUAGUCAAUUUCAUUAAAAUUAAGAGAACAGUCUGCUAUCAGGAGUUUACCCACAAUAGCAACUCCGAGAAUAUAAUCAAGGGUUCAACCUCCAACACGCAGAAAUCUUUCAUGUCAGACAAUGACAUUGUGCUUUGAAUAUGUUGAGUCAGAGACUGAACUGAGAUCCCUGGCUACCCGCCUGAGGUACCCUGGAUUCUCAGAUGGAUCUUCCCCUGAUUUACUCUUAGCACAUCACUACCUAAUGUAGGACAGAUCAUACUUCUUUAUUUUGCUUUUGUCUGUCCCGUCCUCUAGAAGGCAAGUACAAGGGCAAGGAUUUCCAUCUGUUAUCCCCUACUGAUGACCGGCGAGUAGCAGGAUCCUUGGUCCAUGGUCGGAACUCAGUACGCACAUGUUAAAGGUCUAAAUGUGAUUGUUGUAACUGCCUCCUAAAACAGGGGACAGAACAACACAAGCAAACACUCCAUAAACACAAAGGUCAACUCACUGGAUUGCCAUCUACACAGCACACCCUAUACAACAUUGCCCCAACAUUCCAGGUAACUAAUGUUACUGAGUCUCAUAUUCCCACCAAUUUCUCUUCUAACCCCAGAAACCAGAGGCCAUAUACCGGAGGCCUGUGGGACAGAUAUAAGGCCUACCUACUGAAGAGUUCUGCUUGGCCCACAUAUUACUUUAAAAUAUUGACUUAGCUGCUGGCACUUAAAACUCAGUAGGUUCUAUCUAAAAUUGUGAACUUACAGCCCAUUUAGGAGGAAAAAAAAAAAAAAAAAGGAAAAUAAGAUGUGGCAGGGCUUGGCGGGAGGUCCAACUGGCAACCCUAGGUUGGGUCUGAGCUCCAGUGGCCACACUUCUGGCCCAGGCCCAGGUCCUGAGGCCCCUUUCACUCAGGCUGUGACAGGCCUGGCCUCCGAAUGCAUUUCGGUGUGCGACCCCUGCUGGAAAGUUACCAAAAAGCAGGCAACAUGGAGAAAAAAAGUAAAGAUGCCACUGGGAUCUAUUUCUGUUAUGUUCAAGCCAUUCCUCGGAAGAAUAAUGUAUUCAUUUUUCUAGAACUCUGGUGGUACCACAUAACUAUUGACAAACUAUGGCCC
rnacentral:lncRNA from 1 species